GACGAACGCUGGCGGCGUGCUUAACACAUGCAAGUCGAACGGAAAGGCCCUGCUUUUGUGGGGUGCUCGAGUGGCGAACGGGUGAGUAACACGUGAGUAACCUGCCCUUGACUUUGGGAUAACUUCAGGAAACUGGGGCUAAUACCGGAUAGGAGCUCCUGCUGCAUGGUGGGGGUUGGAAAGUUUCGGCGGUUGGGGAUGGACUCGCGGCUUAUCAGCUUGUUGGUGGGGUAGUGGCUUACCAAGGCUUUGACGGGUAGCCGGCCUGAGAGGGUUACCGGCCACAUUGGGACUGAGAUACGGCCCAGACUCCUACGGGAGGCAGCAGUGGGGAAUAUUGCACAAUGGGCGGAAGCCUGAUGCAGCAACGCCGCGUGCGGGAUGACGGCCUUCGGGUUGUAAACCGCUUUCGCCUGUGACGAAGCGUGAGUGACGGUAAUGGGUAAAGAAGCACCGGCUAACUAUGUG
rnacentral:rRNA from 1 species